rnacentral:rRNA from 1 species
CGCAUCUGUGCAUGCAGCAUAUCAAUAAGCGGAGGAAAAGAAACUAACAAGGAUUCCCUUAGUAACGGCGAGUGAAGCGGGAAGAGCUCAAAUUUGAAAUCUUCAAGGUUUUACCUUGACGAAUUGUAGUUUAAAGAAGUGUUUUCUGUUGAAGUUUUGGUAAAAGUUCUUUGGAAUAGGACAUCAUAGAGGGUGAGAAUCCCGUAUUUGACCAUUAUUUUCAGCUGUGUGAUACACUUUCAAAGAGUCGGAUUGUUUGGGAAUGCAGUCCAAAAUGGGUGGUAAAUUUCAUCUAAAGCUAAAUAUUGGCGAGAGACCGAUAGCGAACAAGUACCGUGAGGGAAAGAUGAAAAGAACUUUGAAAAGAGAGUUAAACAGUACGUGAAAUUGUCAAAAGGGAAGCGCUUGACACCAGUGUUGUUUUCUCGAAAAUCAAUUAAAAAGAGUUAGAUUUUGUUGUGUAUUGACCUUAACAGCUUGCAUUUCAAUUUUCUUGCUUUUUUUAAUGCACUUUUCGUUUAACAAGUCAACAUCAGUUUCUUUUGUUGUAAAAAGGUCAUUGGAAGGUGGCUUUCUUUUCGGAGAAAGUGUUUAUAGCCUUUGACUCCUGCAAUCGGAGAGACUGAGGUCUGCAGCGUAGAUCCUUCGGGGUUAGAUACAUUUGUGCUAAGUUAUAGCUUUUUAUAGACAACUUGUUGACUAUGAUUAGUCUUGUAGCUUACUCGCUUAUGCUAUUUUACCUACGCUUAGGAUGUUGAUCUGUAGUGCGUGCGC